UGUACUGCAAUGAAGUACUGUUUUGCCCCAUGUCGGCUCCUCGCACAUUAUGUCAGCUCCUCGCGCCUUCUUGCAGCUGGGCAGCUCACCUCCUCAAAUCCCUCUUCAGCCUCCCUCGGCUGACAACACUACUAACCAAAGCCACCAGGAGUGUGCUGGUAGAGGCAAACCAGUACCAGCAAGCUAGGGCUGACAAGAGAAACAUCCACAGGAACCAUGGGGAACUUGCUACCUGAACUCAUAUGGAGAAGAAGGUCUUCAGCCAUCUCCUUGUGGGAGUCAUACUUCAACAUGGAGCUGAUGUUUUCAUACAGGGCUUAAUUUGUAACUGGCUGCGUGCUUGCCCUCUGCCCCAGCCGCUGGUUUCCCUGGUAACUGAUGAGCCAACCUGACAUCAGUUCCCUCCUGCCGUUAAUCCCCCUGUAAGUGGAAGCCGCCUUCUGCCUCAGGGAGUAGUGAGGAUUGCCGCCUCGUCCUGCCUGCUGUCUGCGCACACGGUGGGGUGUCACUCCAGGACCUUUGCUGCAGACUGCCCCUGGAAAAUCACCAUUGGACUCUGCUUCGACGCCCACCUCUCAGGGCCCAGUGCCCGCCAUGCAGCAGCAACCCCAGCUGGAGCCUCCUGUGGACGAAUCUCUGCUUUGUGGCAAAUGUGAACUAAGGGACACGGCGUCCGAGGUUCUAAGGCUCGUCUCCUGUGAUCUGCACGCACAAGGAGCGCACUCCCUGGCAUCUGCAGCGAGUGUAUGAAUCCUGCUCAGUAUGAACUAGCUAGGAUUUCUUCUUAGGAUGGAGCGCUGGGACAUGAACCAAAACUUGGCCAGUCUUAGUAUUUGGGAGUAAGAUGUUUAAACCUAAAUGAAGCCAAUUGCCAUGUCAGUUAUAAGAGAGGUAAUUUUCAUAUACAUUUCAUCCGUAAUGUGUGGAAGAAGAGGAGGGAAGGAGAAAAGCCAACAUGGAGCCAACUUUAUUUGAUCCUCAAAAAGAGGUGUGCUUAGUUGGGCGGUUUUGAUGAAGCUUCAUAGUUAAGAACUUCAUAGAAAAUAGUCUUUCAGACAAAGGUGUGGUGGUUUUUUUUUUAAUCUCCCAGACUGAGGAUCUAUCAAAGGUGGGGGCAGAGUUUUAUUUUUGAAUUAUUACUGAAACUUUUUAGACAUGCAGGGUGUAUUUUUCAGUUUUAAGAAAUAGCCUUUGACAGAAGAAGAUCGGUACUAGGACUCUCAUCUUCAGAUUUUAGUAUAAUUGCUGGCAGAUUUGUGGGAAUCUGUAAAACUAUUUCAUUUCUUAAGAACAAGCACCACAGUGGCAGAGGUUGACUGAUUUUAAGGUGGACUCUAAAUGUUGCUUUAUUUAAAGCAGUCUUUUAUGUUGUAAUAUUCUUUUUCUUAUUCUCAUUAAACUCAAGGGAGAUAUUAUGCAUAUUAUAAAGAAUUAGUGGGAAAGGAUACUAUAUUGCAUCUUAUAUCAAUGACAUACUCAGGAAGAUAAGAGUUUUUCUUAAUGCAGAAGGAAAAGUCAUUAAAAAAUCAAGUGAAUUAAAUGCUGUCCAAAUAAUCUUAAAGGGCAUGUGACAAGUGUACUUUUAAACCAGAAUUUCACUAUAUCAGAUGCUGUUUGAAACAACAAGCCUGUUGAGUAAAGCUUAGGGAAAAAACUGGUGUUAUAGACAUUUUCCUGUUAUAUAGUAUCACAGAUCUUACCUGCACCGUGAGUGCAGGAAUAUAAAUUUAACUCAUUAGCAAAGCUUAGCCCCUCAUAUGGCCUCUGAGUCUGUUUCUAAUGGAGAUGAGUUAUAGAGGAUACUUAAUAUGCUUACUAUUCAUUAUUAAGCAGCCUUUAUUUCUGUAUCCAAAAUUUUAAAUUCUUUUAUUCUGAAUUCAUAGGUCUCUUUUUAAACUUUAAUUAUCUUUGGAUUUCUCUUAUGCAGGAUCUUCAAAUAUUCCAUGUCACUCUUAAGCAUAACUAUCACACUGCUUAUUAAACCUUCCUCCAGCUAAAGCCACACCUAAACUUUCUAAAACCAAUAAGCACCUGCCAUUGACUACACAUGCUGCCUCAAUAUUAGGCUUUUUCUUAGAUACCACAUAGCUAUCCAUCCAUCCAGAUACAGAAUUUCUUUACUAUGCAUUUGAAUAAUUUUUUUCUACUUAUAAAUGCAUAUCAAACUCAGAGAAAAUAUCAGAAAUAUAGAAACAUAUAAAGAAAAGAAUCUCCUGAAAUUCUGUUAUCUGGAGGUAGCCACCUGCCCAUUAAUAUCUUAGUGUGUCUUUCCCUCUUUAACUUGUACCUACCUCACGACUUCUCCUAAAUUGAAUAAUUCAAAAACGAAAUCCUCCUUCCUCUUUUGUAAUGGCUGACACCUGUUACAGUGAGCUCAGUAUCUCUCAUCCUGACAAUUGAUGCCAAGGUAUCGAUCUGGACAACUCCCUAACAAUGUAGUGAACGUUAUCACUGUAUAUUGACAAAAACCAUGUUGGCUGCUAUUUUAAUCUCAGGUUUACCUUCUUCACACGCAAAUGGGCUCAUUUGAGGAAGUGUUACAUAGAGCACGUCACUGAAUUCACCAUAUUUUUCAGAGUUUCGUUGUCUGGAUCUCACACGCACUUCAUACUCUUUGUCCAGUCUCAACGAGUACACUGGGACUGAUGUUGACAAUACAGGGUCCAUCUUUGAAGAUAAAAUAUAAAACUCACUGGUUAGAGGGUCAACAACUCAAUGCAGUAAGCUCUAUAAGGUGUUUCUCCAUUUGUAUUCCAAGUGAAUUUCUGUAAAGUAGGCACUGUUUUAAAAUGCACUGGUGGAGACACGGACAUAGAAAACAAAUAUGGUUACCAAAGGGGAAGGGGUGGGGAGGGAUAAAUUAGGGUUUGGGGAUUCACAGACACACAUUACUAUAUAUAAAACAGAUAAACAACAAGGACCUACUGUAUAGCACAGGGAACUAUAUUCAACUUCUUGUAACAUAAUGGAAAAGAAUCUGAAAAAAGUAUAUAUGUAUAACUGAAUCACUUUGUUCUACACGUGAAGCUAACACUGUAAAUCAACUACACUUCAAUAAAAAAAAGGCACUGGUGGAAGUUGCUAGAGAAAGAUCAAGGCAAAUAACUCUAGAAAGAGUCAUUUUGUUAAACGGAUAGUAGUCCUCAGAUUUUGGCAGAAACCCAAAGAUGUGAUAGACUUGUUUAAAGAAAUGCAGCUAUACCUUUGCAUAAGCUGUCAGAUACUCUACUAAGAUCAAAGAAUCACCGAAUUAUUACAGAGAAUGGCAGAACUACAAGGAAGAUUACAGAUACAUUGCCUACUCUUUGGGGUAUUACAUUUUUAUAUAAAGACACCAGAACAGAAAAACAAACAUAUUUCCUAUGUCUAUACCUACAUCUGUUCUUUGGAAAGUCUGGGUAGUCAUUCAUAAGAUCACAGAAUUGGAAAGUGUCCUAGAAAAAAAUCAUAGUUGUCUUAAUUAAACUUGCAAACAAUUCUAUCAGCUUGUUCUAUAAGGCUUAAAGCCACCUCAAAAUGGUUUGCUAUUCAAAAUCUGUGAAAAGUCACUGGAGGCCUUUGGUAACAAAUAUCAGGUCCCACAAUCCCGAAGGCCAGGAUAUUCCCCUUUACCUUCCCAGGGAAGGGCAGGUGAGGCUAUUAGACUUUUAACACAUGUUGCUAUCAAAGAGGUAAACCCAACUAAUGAUUUUGUUUUCCUCCAAGUCAAAUAUUCAAAGCAGGUAUCCAGUAUGUUUUUGGGUAGAAUUAUCUGGUUCCUGCUUAUAGAAAACUAGGAACACUCUCUUUUUCAACAGCAUGGGUUUUUCACAUAAAUAAGAUGCUCAUAAUUUGUUUUAUUACGUCAGAAGCUGGGCCUGGAGUUUCUAAAACAUUUUCCUUUCACUUCAGUUAAUUUCUACUCACAAAGUACCUCUUUUUUCCCCAUAUGUACACAGGAUGAUUAGUUCAAUCUUUUAUAGAAGCUUCUUAAUCUAUGGAAUAUUUAUAUACUUAGAAUAUUUCUGAAUAUAUCAGACUUUUUAUUAUUUUUCUUAAAACAUUUUAAAAAGCCUAUGUUUCCAUUCUUGAAGCCUUAAUUUCUCUGUGACUGUCACCCAAUAGUAUUUCUUUACAGAGUUCACUGAUGAUAAAACCAAAAAAGGGGCCCUCAGUGAUUUCACCUAUGUCCCCCUCUCCAUCUUCCCUCAACCCUCCACGGCAGCUGUACCAAACUCACACUGGCUCACAUCCCCUAAUACCCGCCCUGACCCCUGCCACCUGUCUAUGAGAGAACGCCUAUUGUUGGCUAAUCCUCAGGGCAGGUAUUGCUGAUCUCCUAAGAAAUCUUUUCUGGCAGUUUUCCCUACUCCAUCUUGUCAGGUAAUACACAUUUGUAUCUUCUUUUAAUUCAUUAUGCAAAUGUAUACAUUAUACUGCAAAUUCCCUGAGGGCAAACAAUACCUUCAUUUUCUAUAUAUUUCCAAAGCCCAGCACAAAAACAGGUAUAUAGGGGCUGCUCAAGAGAUGGCCCAUACAUUGUGGAUAAUUCUGUGCUACCCAUGUCUUUAAAAUAAAAAAAAAAAAAGUUCUUAACUUGGUUUAGCUGGUAAAUAGUUACAAGCAACUACAUGGUCAUUAGAAGAACUUUUAUAUCCAAAGUGUGUCCAAUAAAUAUAAAAUAGGCAUAGUAAUACCAAAUUCAAUAUUGUCGAAUGGUAACGUGAAUUCCAGAUAUAAGCAACAAACAUCAGCCUUUUCCCCUUUAACUUAUAAACGUCUCUUCUUUAUAUGCUUAAGCUUCAUGAUAACUCUGAGAUGCUUGCAAAUUACCAGAGUUAUAAAUAUCAUGAAUUUGUAACUUCAUUCAUAAAAGGUAAGUACAGUUAACUGACCCAUCUGGACUCUCUAAUGAGAUUUAGCAGGUGUGCAGUGAAAAGUGCAACAAAGGCACAUUGGGAUGCAGCCCUGAAUCACUGGCUGAGUCCCAUGUCCCAUGCACGUGGCUUAGGGUGUGCUUCGGUGCCUCGGCUGGAACGUAACUACACAACAUGGACUUUUUCAGUGUUGAAGCUAUCAUCACUAAAUCUGUGUGCUAAUGUUCUGAUUUACAUCUUUGCUUUUCCUAGGUUGUUGAGCUUUUUUGUUUCAGGGCUCCUCUAUACCCUUAAAAAUGACUGAGAAAAUCCUAUAGAUUUGGGUUUUAUUUGGGUUGUACCUAUCACCAGUUGCCAUACUAGACACUGAAACUGAGAAUUAAAAAAUACUAAUUUAAGAAUAGGUGGAUUUUAUGUUAACAGAUUUUUAUAAAAAUUAUACUUUCCAAAACAAUAAAAUUAUAGUGAGAAAAAUGACAGUUUUACAUUUUUGCAAAUCUCUUUAACGUCUGGCUUAAUAGAAGAUGGCUGUAUUUUUACACCUGCUUCUGAAUUAAAUCUGUUAGGAUGUGGAGCUUUGGUUGAAGUGCAUGAAUAUAACUUGGUCUCACAGAUACAUAGUGAGGAAAAGGAGGAGAUAUUUUAAUAGCCCUUUUAGAUAAUUGUAUAUAUUCUUUUUUAACACUACAAUAAAAUUCAACAAGUGGUGUUUUCUUAAAGGUUAGUUGCAAUGUGGAAUCUGAAACCGUAUCAAUGAAUCUUUUACACUUUGUUAUAUUAAAAUCCACCAUUCCAUCUAGUACUUUGGAUGGAUAAUUUCUUCAUGCAUGGUUUUGGUUACAUCAUGUAUCCGUCAUUUGGAAAAUACUGUUCACUGAUUUGUGCAGAUUUCCUAAAUGUUCACACUUUUUUCAUUAUACAAUAUUAAAAAAAAGUCACUUUUGCUAAUAUCACCAUUGAUCUCAUCAGGAAAGUCUUCAAAGACUGGGAAAGCUACCAAGCUCACAGCUGCACACAGCAAGUUUUCCAAAAUUCUCAAGGUUAAAUGACCUUGAAAGCGCCAAUUUUUUCCCACUGGCAAAGACUGUCAAUUGUUUUUCUUGAAGUGAUAAGCUCACUUCAUUUUUUUUCUAGAAAUGUUUGCCAAAUAUUUGCCAACUGAAAUAUGAAUAACCAUCUAUCAGUUUAUCAGUUGUUCUUUCCAAGUAAAAAUGGUGUUCUAUGCAAGACGCAGUGAGGUCAGCUGGUGACUCAGCCAUCGAAGUGCUUUUUCUCAAGACGACCAUGUGUACCUCAGGAUGCAGCAGAAGUGCUUUAUGUGUGCUUCCCGCACAGAAUAUUAAAAAGCCACAAACCCAGAAGUCAUGAUUUAAUAAACUUAAUAACAUGCGCAGCUUCAUCAAGGACAUUCUUCCGUGAAGCUGCCUCCCCCUGCCCUGCUCCCCUCUUCUUUACUGGGACUGCACGGCGGAGAAUACAGUGAUACUAUUGGUACAGUUUGGAAUUAUCACCUUGAUUUGUGCUAAGGCAGCUGCAAGUUUCCCACCAUUGCUUUCGUAUCAUCUGUGCAGAUCUCAACACAGUGAAAAAAGGAAAGAACGUUCUAGUAUUAUUAUGAAAACGUUUAACCUUGUAGAUUCCCUGAAAAUGUCCCAGGUUUACACUUUGGGAACAGCUGCCCUGGGGUGCCCAGCAUGGUGCCUUGUGCACAGUAGUUAUUUCAGUACUUGGUUGCUAAAUAAAUGUUUGACUGCA